GGAGACUGUAAGAAGUGGCUUGAAGAAUUUUUGUUGCACUGGGAGAGAAUGCUGGAGACAACAGCAUCACCAACCACGGGCCCGGCUACAGCCCAAUCCAGGGCCACAGCCACCACUCCCAUCACCUGGAUCCUCCUGGUGACCCUCACCUGCUCUCUUCUCCUCGGCAUCCUAGGCUGAGUCCUUCACAGUAACAGGUUGCUGAUCCUGUGAAGAAGCCCCUGAGAGUGUGGUGCACGUCAUGACUCUGCCUUCUGGAUAGCCGCUUUUGGGUCACCUGCUGCUCAUUUCUAGACCACCUGGAGUUCAGGCCUCACAAAUCCAGAUGUCACCAUCAGAUCGUGGUGAGACAGUUAAUGCAACAUCUCAGGCCCCUUAUUGCAUUUGGGGAUUCUCCUGUUCAGCACUUUUCCUGAACAUCUUUUGCCACUUUCCUUUGGUGCUCAGUGAUGGAAUUCCUGCACUUCAACUUGAACUGCUUGAACAAGAAACCUCAGCAAAGAGAACAUUUUCCAUCUUCUCUUUUGAUUGUGGAAAAUCAGAUUCUUCUCUGCAUCCUGACCCUGUUCUUACAAAUGAUAUUGCCAGAAAAAUAUCAUGUUAGACUACAGAACCUCAGGGAUUCUUUCUCUAUCAUGAGAAACAACCUCACUCACUUUUCAACACAAUGAGGUUAUUUAUAUGAUCAUUUCCUUCAGCGAUUUGCGUGUGUGUGUGUGUGUGGUGGGGGAAGAUUUGCCCUGAGCUAACAUCUGUGCGCAUCUUCAUCUAUUUUGUAUAUGGUACCCUGCUACAGCAUGGCUUGAUGAGCAGUGCCUAUGUCCGCGCCGGGGAUCCGAACCUGCGAACCCUGGGACAUGGAAGCGUAGCGUGUGAACUUAACCACUGUGCCACCGGGCCAGCCCCUCCUUCAGUAAUUUUUUAACCUUUAAUGAUAUUUGAAUGAACACCUCUAUUUUCUAAAAAACUUAAUCAAUUUGGAAUUUUCAUUGAUAACCCAGUAGAAAAUUCAUGGCAUUUCACUAUUCCUCCACAUUAUGGGGCAAAUAUAACUGGUGAUUCUGCUGGAUUUCUUGUGGAAACAGAGAAUUUAAGGAUCAUUCUUGAAUUAACAAGCAGUCCUGCUGUCUGUCUCAAACACUCUCCUGGUACCCUGAUGCAAACAAAUAUUCUGGGCCUUAAGCAAUAAUAACCUUUCUUGUUUCGGCCCAGAUCCCCCACCCCAGUAGUGACUUUCCUGUGUUCUCUCCACCCUGACUCGCCUUCUUCAUGACAUGUCAGUCUUCACAGCAGAAACAUCUCUACUUAUAUUGUUGUUUUAUUUCCCCUCAGACAGAGGAUCAGUGUCCAGAAUAUACAAUGAACUCCCACAAAUAAACAAGAAUAAUUCUCCUAACAUUUGAGCAAAUGUUUAGAGCAGUUCAGAGGAGGUCCAUAAGCCUAUGAACAGAUUGAACAUUUCCCAGAUCAUCAAGAUAACACAAAAGAAGAUUGGGUACACUUACACACCCAGCAAAUGGACACACUGUGAAAUAUAUCAAGUGGUGGACAGGAAAUGGAAUAACAGGAGUUCUCUCACGUUGUUAGUAGGAGGAUGAAUUGAGUCAGUGCUCAGACAUGUAUUUCACCAGAUCCCAAUGCUGGAUUGUGUGUUCUUCCUACUACGCGGCAAUCCCAGUGUGAGUUCCAGGCGGGCAAACGUGGACCACAAAGCAUGUAGAUAUGGUUGUUUAUUGUAGUGUCAUGUGUCACAGGAAAAAUCUAUCAUUAAGAUAUCCAACUGAAGUAGUGUAUAUUUUUCAAUGUUGUUAAAAUAUUUCUGUUUCUCUCUAUUUCAGGGUAGAUUAUCUGAACUUCUAUCCAAAAUGAAACCACCAAAAUGUCAGAGGAAAACCUUUUAAACCUUUCAGAUAUGUAGGCUAAUAUACAUUGUUUUAAACCUCUGUAAUUUUGGUUUAUUUGCACCUGCAAUAAACCUAGCAUGCCUUGAUUGUUAGGCUUCAUA